UACGUAGGGUGCAAGCGUUGUCCGGAAUUACUGGGCGUAAAGGGCGCGUAGGCGGUGUGUCAAGUCAGGCGUGAAAUCCCCGGGCUCAACCUGGGAACUGCAUUUGUGACUGCACGGCUAGAGUGUGUCAGAGGGGGGUAGAAUUCCACGUGUAGCAGUGAAAUGCGUAGAGAUGUGGAGGAAUACCGAUGGCGAAGGCAGCCCC
rnacentral:rRNA from 1 species